UGAACGCUGGCGGUAUGCUUUACACAUGCAAGUCGUACGGGAGUUUUUAACUCAAGUGGCGGACGGGUGAGUAACACGUAAGAAUUUACCUUUAGGAGGGGGACAACAACUGGAAACGGUUGCUAAUACCCCAUAUGCUUUCGAGUGAAAUGGAUUUUUCCGCCUAAAGAGAAGCUUGCGGCUGAUUAGCUUGUUGGUAGGGUAAUGGCUUACCAAGGCGACGAUCAGUAUCUGGUUUGAGAGGACGAUCAGACACACUGGAACUGAGACACGGUCCAGACUACUACGGGAGGCAGCAGUGGGGAAUUUUCCGCAAUGGGCGAAAGCCUGACGGAGCAAUACCGCGUGAGGGAAGACUGCCUAUGGGUUGUAAACCUCUUUUUUCAGGGAGGAAUAAAAUGACGUGUACCUGAAGAAUAAGCAUCGGCUAACUCC
rnacentral:rRNA from 1 species